GCACCAUGAAGAAUCAUUUGGGUCAGAGCAGCUCCGUACUCAGAUUUUCAGGCAGAGGCUCAUGUUUCCCAGAUUGUUGAGAUGGAUCCUGUGUUUGGAUAUGCUGAAAGUAAUACUUCCUGUUUCUCACAUGAAUGCCUGUCAUCCUCAAGCAAGAUGA
rnacentral:lncRNA from 11 species